rnacentral:rRNA from 1 species
GCAGGGAUACACCCUGAACGCGCCCGAUCUCGUCUGAUCUCGGAAGCUAAGCAGGGUCGGGCCUGGUUAGUACUUGGAUGGGAGAAACGCAGGGAUACCUACU